rnacentral:tRNA from 1 species
CCUUCUAUAGCUCAGUUGGUAGAGCGGUGGACUGUAGAUCCAUAGGUCUCUGGUUCAAAUCCGGCUCGAAAGA